UGUUCUUGAAUUUUGGCAGUGGGCCUGGUUAUUCCAGCAGGCAAAUGAAAAGCUCCAGCUGUUUUUUUUCAUGUAUUUGUUCCUAUCCCUUCGGUUGUUAAAUGGUGUCAGCAGCUUCUCAGACAUGGCUGCUGCACUUUUGUCAUUUGAAAAGGGGGAAAACAUAACAGCAGCUUCAGGAUCUCCUGGUCCCUUCCCCUCAGCAGCUCCCCUGGCUGCCUCCUGCUCCUCUGCAGCCUGAUGUGGAACAGGAACACGUGCUUGGGCUGCUUUGCACAAAUGAGAUGGAACACCAGAAAAUCCAGGAAGCUUGGCCUGACCCUUUAGGGGGGGUUUGUGGAGCAGAACAACGAGCUGGAGCUUCACAGGGAUUCCAAACCUGAACUCCUCUGCUGGCAGCAGCUCCUGGUUUUAUGUGUGGAGGAGGAAGGAGGUGGGGAUGGAUGGAGUGACAUGAGAAAACUCUG